rnacentral:rRNA from 1 species
GAUGAACGCUGGCGGCGUGCCUAAUACAUGCAAGUCGAGCGAACAGACGAGGAUCUUGCUCCUCUUACGUUAGCGGCGGACGGGUGAUUAACACGUGGAUAACCUGCCUUUAAGGCUGGGAUAACGUCGGGAAACCUGAUCUAAUACCGGAUAUCAUGUUGAACCUCAUGGUUCAACAGUGAAAAACGUUUUUGCUGUCCCUUGUAGGUGGUACCUCGUCGCAUUAGCUAGUUGGUAAGGUAACGGCUUACCAAGGCAACGAUGCGUAGCCGACCUGAGAGGGUGAUCGGCCACACUGGAACUGAGACACGGUCCAGACUCCUACGGGAGGCAGCAGUAGGGAAUCUUCCGCAAUGGGCGAAAGCCUGACGGAGCAACGCCGCGUGAGUGAAGAAGGUCUUCGGAUCGUAAAACACUGUUAUUAGGGAAGAAAAAAUGUGAAAGUAACUAUGCACGUCUUGACGGUACCUACUCAGAAAGCCACGGCUAACUACGUG